rnacentral:lncRNA from 1 species
UGUUUCCAGGUCUGCCUCGCAAGCCAGUAAAGAUUCGUUUAUGAAUCAAUUUCCUCGUAGAAACAGGAGAGCAGUUAUAAUGGAUUCCUCCCGCCGUGAUUUAUGUUUGCGAGCGCAGCCGUGUCUUGCUCCUCGCGGCUCUUAUAGAGUUUUCGGGCUUUUUAUCUUGCCCUCCGUUCACGCUGAGCCGCGCCGCUCCGUUGUGACCCUUGAAAGCUCUUCCCGCUGUCUUGUUGCCGUGGUCACCAUUAGAUGCCGCGGUGGGCUGCUUCGCCACAGCUUACGCCCUGUGUCUUUCUCUUUCAGCGUUGGGGUGAACUCCGCCGGGCCUACAGGUGAUACAGGAUUAACGCACAGCUCUUCCGCCCCACACCAGUAAUCCGUUUUGUUUAGGUUCCUCGUUGGACGCCUGCAGUGUCCCAGUGGAAUUAAGGGGAGAGAGGACAGGUCAGAGCUGCGAUUCGAUGGCACAGAUGACCUCGAUAAGGGAUGACCCCCCCAGAGGGGAGGUUAUGAUGCCAGGAUGAGAAGGUGCCUCGCGGGUGU